AAAUUGAAGAGUUUGAUCAUGGCUCAGAUUGAACGCUGGCGGCAGGCCUAACACAUGCAAGUCGAGCGGUAGCACAGAGAGCUUGCUCUCGGGUGACGAGCGGCGGACGGGUGAGUAAUGUCUGGGAAACUGCCUGAUGGAGGGGGAUAACUACUGGAAACGGUAGCUAAUACCGCAUAACGUCGCAAGACCAAAGUGGGGGACCUUUGGGCCUCAUGCCAUCAGAUGUGCCCAGAUGGGAUUAGCUAGUAGGUGGGGUAACGGCACAGCUAGGCGACGAUCCCUAGCUGGUCUGAGAGGAUGACCAGCCACACUGGAACUGAGACACGGUCCAGACUCCUACGGGAGGCAGCAGUGGGGAAUAUUGUACAAAAGGCGCAAUGCUGAUGCAGCAAAGGCGCGUGUGUGAGGAAGGCCUUCGGGUUGUAAAGAACUUGCAACGGGGAGGAAGGCGAUACGGUUAAUAACCUUGUCGAUUGACGUUACCCGCAGAAGAAGCACCGGCUAACUCCGUGCCAGCAGCCGCGGUAAUACGGAGGGUGCAAGCGUUAAUCGGAAUUACUGGGCGUAAAGCGCACGCAGGCGGUCUGUCAAGUCGGAUGUGAAAUCCCCGGGCUUAACCUGGGAACUGCAUUCGAAACUGGCAGGCUAGAGUCUUGUAGAGGGGGGUAGAAUUCCAGGUGUAGCGGUGAAAUGCGUAGAGAUCUGGAGGAAUACCGGUGGCGAAGGCGGCCCCCUGGACAAAGACUGACGCUCAGGUGCGAAAGCGUGGGGAGCAAACAGGAUUAGAUACCCUGGUAGUCCACGCCGUAAACGAUGUCGAUUUGGAGGUUGUGCCCUUGAGGCGUGGCUUCCGGAGCUAACGCGUUAAAUCGACCGCCUGGGGAGUACGGCCGCAAGGUUAAAACUCAAAUGAAUUGACGGGGGCCCGCACAAGCGGUGGAGCAUGUGGUUUAAUUCGAUGCAACGCGAAGAACCUUACCUGGUCUUGACAUCCACAGAACUUUCCAGAGAUGGAUUGGUGCCUUCGGGAACUGUGAGACAGGUGCUGCAUGGCUGUCGUCAGCUCGUGUUGUGAAAUGUUGGGUUAAGUCCCGCAACGAGCGCAACCCUUAUCCUUUGUUGCCAGCGGUUAGGCCGGGAACUCAAAGGAGACUGCCAGUGAUAAACUGGAGGAAGGUGGGGAUGACGUCAAGUCAUCAUGGCCCUUACGACCAGGGCUACACACGUGCUACAAUGGCAUAUACAAAGAGAAGCGACCUCGCGAGAGCAAGCGGACCUCAUAAAGUAUGUCGUAGUCCGGAUUGGAGUCUGCAACUCGACUCCAUGAAGUCGGAAUCGCUAGUAAUCGUAGAUCAGAAUGCUACGGUGAAUACGUUCCCGGGCCUUGUACACACCGCCCGUCACACCAUGGGAGUGGGUUGCAAAAGAAGUAGGUAGCUUAACCUUCGGGAGGGCGCUUACCACUUUGUGAUUCAUGACUGGGGUGAAGUCGUAACAAGGUAACCGUAGGGGAACCUGCGGUUGGAUCACCUCCUUACCUUAAAGAA
rnacentral:rRNA from 1 species